rnacentral:rRNA from 1 species
AGGACGACGCUGGCGGUGUGCUUCACACAUGCAAGUCGAACGAGGUAGCAAUACCUAGUGGCGGACGGGUGAGUAACGCGUGGGAAUCUGCCUUUAGAUGGGGGAUAACGGGUCGAAAGACUCGCUAAUACCGCAUAUGACGAAAGUUGAAAGGAGUAAUCCGUCUAAAGAUGAGCCCGCGUCCGAUUAGCUAGUUGGUAGAGUAAAAGCCUACCAAGGCGACGAUCGGUAGCUGGUCUGAGAGGAUGAUCAGCCACAAUGGGACUGAGACACGGCCCAUACUCCUACGGGAGGCAGCAGUGGGGAAUUUUACGCAAUGGGCGAAAGCCUGACGUAGCGACACCGCGUGAGCGAAGAAGCCCCUUGGGGUGUAAAGCUCUGUCAGCUGGAACGAAAAAAUGACGGUACCAGCAGAGGAAGCAUCGGCUAACUACGUG